GCAUAUAGCUCAAGCGGUAGAGUGCUUACCUAGCAUGCACGAGGUCCUGGGUUCAAUCCCCAGUACCUGCU
rnacentral:tRNA from 1 species